rnacentral:rRNA from 1 species
GGGGAAUUUUGCGCAAUGGGGGCAACCCUGACGCAGCAACGCCGCGUGCGCGACGACGCCCUUCGGGGUGUAAAGCGCUGUUGCCCGGGCCGACGGUCAUGGCAGGAAGAGGGUCAUGAGUGGACGGCACUGGGUGAGGAAGCCCCGGCUAACUCCGUGCCAGCAGCCGCGGUAAUACGGAGGGUGCGAGCGUUGUUCGGAAUUAUUGGGCGUAAAGCGCGUGUAGGCGGUUUUUUAAGUCUGAUGUGAAAGCCCUGGGCUCAACCCGGGAAGUGCAUUGGAAACUGGGAGACUUGAAUACGGGAGAGGGCAGUGGAAUUCCUGGUGUAGGAGUGAAAUCCGUAGAUAUCAGGAGGAACACCGGUGGCGAAGGCGGCUGCCUGGACCGAUAUUGACGCUGAGACGCGAAAGCGUGGGGAGCAAACA